UACGAAGGGGGCUAGCGUUGCUCGGAAUCACUGGGCGUAAAGGGUGCGUAGGCGGUUCUUUAAGUCAGGGGUGAAAUCCUGGAGCUCAACUCCAGAACUGCCUUUGAUACUGAGGAUCUUGAGUCCGGGAGAGGUGAGUGGAACUGCGAGUGUAGAGGUGAAAUUCGUAGAUAUUCGCAAGAACACCAGUGGCGAAGGCGGCUCACUGGCCCGGUACUGACGCUGAGACGCGAAAGCGUGGGGAGCGAACAGG
rnacentral:rRNA from 1 species